rnacentral:rRNA from 1 species
CACGUAGGGUGCGAGCGUUGUCCGGAAUUAUUGGGCGUAAAGAGCUCGUAGGCGGUGUGUCGCGUCGGCCGUGAAAACCUGCAGCUUAACUGUGGGCGUGCGGUCGAUACGGGCAUCACUGGAGUUCGGCAGGGAAGACUGGAAUUCCUGGUGUAGCGGUGAAAUGCGCAGAUAUCAGGAGGAACACCGGUGGCGAAGGCGGGUCUCUGGGCCGAUACUGACGCUGAGGAGCGAAAGCGUGGGGAGCGAACAGG